CCUACGGGAGGCAGCAGUGGGGGAUAUUGGACAAUGGGGGGAACCCUGAUCCAGCGACGCCGCGUGAGUGAAGAAGUAUCUCGGUAUGUAAAGCUCUAUCAGCAGGGAAGAAGAAAUGACGGUACCUGAAGAAAAAGCAUCGGCAAACACCGUGCCAGCAGCCGCGGUAAGACGGGGGAUGCGCGCGUUAUCCGGAUUUAUUGGGUUUAAAGGGUGCGUAGGCGGGUUCUCAAGUCGGCGGUAAAGUCGUGGAGCUCAACUCCAUCCAGCCGUUGAAACUGAUGAGCUUGAGUGGGCGAGAAGUAUGCGGAAUGCGUGGUGUAGCGGUGAAAUGCAUAGAUAUCACGCAGAACUCCGAUUGCGAAGGCAGCAUACCGGCGCCCGACUGACGCUGAAGCACGAAAGCGUGGGUAUCGAACAGGAUUAGAUACCCGUGUAGUC
rnacentral:rRNA from 1 species